ensembl:lncRNA
GGCUAAGUCGUUACACAGUCACAGCGUACAAAAGGCAUAGCCUUUCCCUAAUAAACACACGUGCUAACCGGCUCACCUUCAGAUCACAUCAGUCUCUUUCAGUCGAGGAUGCCACGCCUCCUCUUUGGGACCUGAGACCCCCUGGGACUGGACUCUGGCAGUAAGUCAGGGAACACAGAGAUACACCAGUGCCCUGAAUACGCCACUGCCCGAAGUGUCUCAGGAACUGAAAGGCCCCAGUAGCCACGGACUCUAAUCUGAAGAGCACAUGAUGCCCGCUUCUCAAGGAUUCUAGACCAGGCCAACUCCAUGAUUUCCUGCAAAGCUCCAGUCCGAUUGCCGAUUGCCGAUUACCGAUUGCGGGUAAGAACGACUGCAGGGCAUUUUCUUCAUUGACAAUUGCUGUACAAAGGCCCAGCCCCCUGUGAGCAAUGGCGCCCCUGGAAAUUGGGUCCUGAGGUGUGUAAGAAAGCAGGCUGACCAAGCCAGUGAAGAGCUUUCCUCUACGGUAUCAAAGGGCACCAGAGUCUUGGCUCACAAACUGAUUUAGGUUCUACAGAAACCAACUUUGUUUGAAACAAGAAGAAAAGGAAUGUUUUUGGAAGAGUAGAGAGUUUGCUCACUAAUGCAAAUCUGAAUUGGAAAGAAGCAGGACAAAGGAACGGAGGAUGCAGGGAACCCAGCCACAGUCAAACCGCAGGGCAUCUAGCAUCAGGAGCCCUGCGCUCUGCAACACCAAGGUGUCCCUACCACAGCAGCAGACUCUGGUCACUUUCCUGCAGGAUUUGAGUCUCAAAGGUGACUCACAUGGUUGUAACUCUGGGCGGUGGAAGGGUGGUAAGUGUUUCAGCAGUUCUGGAAGCUUCUUUUGGAGGAACUGGAGUAUCAUGUCAGUGAAACAGCAAAUGCAGAAGGGAGGACAGUAAUGGGCUGGAGAGAGAGGAAGGAAGUGAGUUCAGUAGCAGAUACAGG